rnacentral:rRNA from 1 species
CCUACGGGCGGCAGCAGUGAGGAAUAUUGGUCAAUGGGCGCGAGACUGAACCAGCCAAGUAGCGUGAAGGAUGACUGCCCUACGGGUUGUAAACUUCUUUUAUCAAGGAAUAAAGUGAGGCACGCGUGCCUGUUUGUAUGUACUUUAUGAAUAAGGAUCGGCUAACUCCGUGCCAGCAGCCGCGGUAAUACGGAGGAUCCGAGCGUUAUCCGGAUUUAUUGGGUUUAAAGGGAGCGUAGACGGGUUGUUAAGUCAGUUGUGAAAGUUUGCGGCUCAACCGUAAAAUUGCAGUUGAUACUGGCAGUCUUGAGUACAGUUGAGGUAGGCGGAAUGCGUGGUGUAGCGGUGAAAUGCUUAGAUAUCACGAAGAACUCCGAUUGCGAAGGCAGCUUACUAAACUGACACUGACAUUGAUGCUCGAAAGUGUGGGUAUCAAACAGGAUUAGAUACCCCUGUAGUC